rnacentral:lncRNA from 1 species
UCUAGUCAAGUUAUUUUAACCAUCAGUCAUCCUAGAAUGCGUUGAGUUUGUGUAUAGUUUAUGAUCCUAUACAUUGGCUUAACACUAUAAAUACUCCCCUGCGCCCUUAUGAGCUGAGACCAUCGACCAGGUACAGUGUGCCAUAUUCCAGCAGUUCAAGCAAAUGGCUUCUACAAGGAUACUUGCUCAGCAACUCCACCAGUCUCUUGGAGGUGGAGGGGGCGGUGGAGGUGGUGGUGGCGGCGGCGGCGGCGGUGGCGGAGGAGGUGGUGGCGGUGGGGGUGGGGGUGGCGGUGGCGGUAAUGGAGGAGGUGGUGGAGGUGGAGGAAACUAGAUUGCCUUGCUGCUACCCUCAUCAUAGCCCAGGAGGUUGGCUCUGUUCCAAUCAUUCUGGGAUGAUGGCGAGGUAGUAGCCGUAUCUAUGUUCAGGUUUAUGACCAAGCCAUGAUUGUGUGUGUAGUGCAAAGGUAAAUAAGGACGUCGAGAUAAAUCUCUAAACUCUAUGCAACCAUCGACGUGGUGACUGUAUUUGAAUGAUGUGAAGCAUCUAGCUAUAUAUGUGUCAUGUACUAAGUUAUAUAUGUGCUCUCUCAUUAUAUAUGAUAUAUCCCCUACUUGAAUAACACAGAUAUUCAUCAUCCAAUUUUAUAUGUGCUAAGUUAUAUAUGUCCCCUGCUUGAAUAACACAGAUACUCAAGCCUCUAUAUAUGUGUCAUGUACUAAGUUAUAUAUGUGCUCUCUCAUUAUAUCUAAACUC